CUGGGGUUAGAGGAAGAGCCCUGGAAAUGAAAGUGAUUAAAGGUGGUUGUAGCAGCAGAUAGGAAGGAAGUGAAGGUAGCAAGUAGGAAUUGGAAGAUCAUUCAGAUGUUUUGCGGAUCAUUCAGAUGUUUUGUACCACCUGGUACCCAGAAGCUGUCACUCUCCACCUGGUAACCUCCAAGACCAUCACAAAGGAGAUGAUCCUGUUGUGCAGCCACAGAAACUCAUCACCAAUCAGGGCGAGCCCUUCGUCUUCAGGCUAAAGAAGGACCUCUGUCGGCUACUCUAGGUGCAACACCUGCGCACCUCCGUCUACCUCCUCCAGAUUGUAGAAUUCAAACAGACCCUGAAGAGGAUGCUGCGGCAGGUUAUAGCAGAGAUCAGCCGCACGUGGGACCUAAUAAUCCUGAAUGUGCUGUUUUCGGAGUGUGAAAUCCCCCAGACCCCCACCGGUUUCUUUCUUCUGUAAAGACAUCUUAAUGAAAGUGGCAUUGUAGAGCUUCAGUGGAAAGAUACUUAUUAUUGACCUACAAGUGAAGAUGGGUAUUUUCAGACAUGGCUAUUUCUAGAUUCAACUUACUUUUAUCUUAAUUUGUAUGUUCUCCGACAUUUCACAUGCUGAUAGUUGAUGAUGGUCCUGUCUCAAUUUGCAUAAUAUCCAUACUAUGGUAUAUUUCAGAUAACGAUCAGCAUGCCCCAAACAAUAGUGGUUUACUAUUGUCCAGUACUAUUGCACAAGUGGAUUUUCGAAGUAUGUAACCGUCUAUGCUUUUUGAGGAAAUAUUGCCCACAACCACUUGUGCAAUGAAAGAGGAGAGCUUUGUGACAAUUCUCCCGACUUUGAGAGUUUUCAAAAGAACAUUCAUUCUUGAAAGCUGGAAUUCUUGGAGCUUGUUGGGUCAAAGCAAUUGUGGGAGUGAAUCACAGGCUCCAUUCACUGCUGUGGGCUUUAUCGGGAUGUGACAGCCAACGAUGGAUGGGACUGCAUGAAAGACAGUUGAGCAUGCCAGUCUGGCAAACCCUGUGCCCACCUACUCUACUUCCUCACACUCUGGGAGACAAACAACUUUUUUAACAGCCCUACUGACCAUGUGCACAAACGUGUGUAAUGUGGACCUAGGCAAGCAGCCAACACUUGAUAGGAUGCAGUAUGAACCAAGAAGUACAGGAACACAAGGACCUCCACCUCCUUGUACCACCCAUGCCGCGGUCACUUCCACUAUGGAUGCCUUAGUCAGUGGCAGGUCAGAACAGAGAUCAAUGUGUCCAUCAAAGCCUCAGGAUGGGUACAGUUGGGUUGAUGUGGCAGUGGGAGGUGGGGUUGCCAGGCUAGAAAACACAUAAAUAACAAGCUCCAGUCCAGUCAUGCAAGAGUUCUCUCUCUCCUUUUCCAUAUAAAAUAUUUAAUUUGAAUAUAUAAUACUAAGUAAAUACUGCUUUACACUAACUAAAUACUUCAGUCAAGAAUAUUAAUGAUCAGAUGAGAAUGUUUAAUUGUAUUCACUGUUUUAAUCUGCAAAACAUAGUGGAGUCCACACAACUUAAGGCAACGACACUUAAGCCAAGAACAGGCAAUGGCAACGUAAUAAAUGCAUACAGGGUUUAGAUUACUUACAGCAUUAUGGAGAGAAUCAUCAGUAGAGCCCUCCAGACCAUGGACCAGAAACUGACAGCUCUUCAACAAUGUGCAGCUUCAGUUUUUGCCAAAAUGGUAGGCAUUUGAUGUUUGACGAUUUAGCUCAAUGUUGGCUAGCUAAAUAUUCAAACUUGGCUGGGUUUUAAUAUGUAUCAAACUGAUCUAAUGUAUCUCCCAAUACUGGCUAAUUAAUUACUUAACAGUACAUACUUCAAGAUCACUGCAGUACGUAGUAUUCUGAAUGCAAAUGAAGGCAGGCCUAUGGGAGUUUGGUAUGUGUGUCACCAUUGAAACCACCAUUUUUACACCAGUAAAACAGCAUAGAUGACCAUUUAGAGAUGAAAUGUAUCAGUUUGUUUGAUCAGUGUUUGUGCGUCAUGUGCAUUCAUUGAAGAGUAAUGUUACUGAAAUAAAAGUGAAAUAUAUUUUGUAAUCUAAUCCAAUAUGUUUCCUGGAUGUAUUGCACCCAAUACUAAAAUGGCUGAACCACUUGUGGUUAUUCUCUUAAUACUGGCAGAAUGGUAUAAACAUUCCUACUCUAGAUGCAUGUAAUUUAUUUAUAAAGGAAUGCAUAUUGAGAACUGGUUCUACUUUACAAGUGUGCCCUGAUGAUACAUUGUAAUAAAUAAAUAAAAUAAAAAACAUUAAAAACAUUACAUUUAAAAUGAAACCACAAUAGUACAUAGCAAUAGAAUCCAGAUGAUAGUAAGUAUUAGAAAGACUGACAUGUCACAUAUGUAAUAAGUAAUUGGAUUAUAUUGGAUUAGUUUAUAAAAUGUAGGUCCCUCUGUUGGCCAAUGAGAUCAUAUUUUUGUAAAACAGGCUUAGACAUUGAGGCAGAGCUAUCAUAAUUAGCAAUAGACUUAGCACUUGACCAUGGUAAAGCCCUGCAUAUAUGUGCCUCUGUGUGACUGUAUGAAGAUUCAAACUUCAUAUGUUUCUAAUUUGGCCUAUUCAUGUUUUGUAACCUCAAAGAGAGUUAGUUCCUAUGACUGUUAUCAUAGUGCAAGGUUAUCCUGCUGGUGGUUCUGAAAUUAUGUCUUUGUGAGAAACUGUUAAGUAUUAUCAAAGAAAGUCAUUUUCUUGAUAAGACAAAGGUCGCAUUCUGUUUUUAUAUCACCAACAUUGAGGUUAUGGUUAAAUUCGUCAUCGGAAUGUAACCACAUAUGGUUUGUUGGCCUAUUUAAACUCUACAAUCAAGUUGCUGUAAUACGUGAAGUUAGAAUCCAUAAAUAUUUACUGCAAGGCAUAUUAUGAAACCAUGCAAUUUUUUCCCAUACCCUCUGACUUGUCUGCUUGAUUUCUACACUGUUACGUCUGCUCUUUACCAAUAACUGAACUUCCUGGAAUCUCACUGAAAGGCAACCUUAUAACUAGAAUAAGUUUCAAUCAGUUUUAGUUCUGGUUGCAGAUGAUAUGAAGUGUUGGAUGUCCCACUUAAGUCUGGUUUUGCAUUCAGAAUGACUGCCAGUGUUGGGAUGACUAACAUGGUCACACAGAAAGUUCAGUGUCUGAUGACUAAUCUAUAUGAUAAUACUGAGGCAGCUGUAAUGUCACAGGAGUAACCAACCUCAAGUUUCAGCAAGCCCCCUAUUCAUAUCAGCCCCUGUACACACAUACAGUAUGAUUGUUUUGCAUGCCAUGAUUGUAGGUUUGAUGAUAAUAUAACAAAAUUCCAAUGCAUUCUGCAAGGAGUGCUACAGUGCUAACAUAAAAAUACUCUGUC
ensembl:lncRNA